rnacentral:rRNA from 1 species
UUCCAGACUCCUACGGGAGGCAGCAGUGAGGAAUAUUGGUCAAUGGCCGGAAGGCUGAACCAGCCAUGCCGCGUGAAGGUCAGUGCCCUAUGGGCGUUAAACUUCUUUUGUGCGGGAGCAAUAAUGGUCACGUGUGGCCAGACGAGAGUACCGUACGAAUAAGCAUCGGCUAACUCCGUGCCAGCAGCCGCGGUAAUACGGGGGAUGCAAGCGUUAUCCGGAUUUAUUGGGUUUAAAGGGUGCGCAGGCGGCACGGCAAGCCGGCGGUCAAAUCGCGGGGCUCAACCCCGCCCAGCCGUCGGAACUGCCGGGCUAGAGUGGGCGAGAAGUGCGCGGAAUGCGUGGUGUAGCGGUGAAAUGCAUAGAUAUCACGCAGAACUCCGAUUGCGAAGGCAGCGCACCGGCGCCCUACUGACGCUCAGGCACGAAAGCGUGGGUAUCGAACAGGAUUAGAUACCCUUGUAC